rnacentral:tRNA from 1 species
GGUGAGAUGGCCGAGCGGUCUAAGGCGCCAGACUAAGGCAGUUGCCUAUGUAAUCUGGUCCGAAAGGGCGUGGGUUCGAAUCCCACUCUCAUCA